rnacentral:rRNA from 1 species
NNCGCCCGGUCCCAUUCCGAACCCGGAAGCUAAGCCCUUCAGCGCCGAUGGUACUGCACGGGAGACUGUGUGGGAGAGUAGGUCGCCGCC